UGAAUACGAGAUGCUACGGCGUCGAAGCAGUCUAUGUCAUACUUCCAAGAAAAGCUUGCACUGUCAUAAACAAAUAAUGCCUGUACCAUAACCGACACAGGUGGGUAGGUAGAGUAUACUAAGGGGCGCGAGAUAACUCUCUCUAAGGAACUCGGCAAAAUGACUCCGUAACUUCGGGAGAAGGAGUGCCUUAUUUAUAAGGUUGCAAUAACAAGAUCCAAGCAACUGUUUACCAAAAACACAGGUCUCCGCUAAGUCGUAAGACGAUGUAUGGGGGCUGACGCCUGCCCAGUGCCAGAAGGUUAAAGAAGUUGGUUAGCAUCCGCGAAGCUGAUAACUGAAGCCCUGGUGAACGGCGGCCGUAACAAUAACGGUCCUAAGGUAGCGAAAUUCCUUGUCGGGUAAGUUCCGACCUGCACGAAAGGCGUAAUGAUUUGGAUACUGUCUCGGAGAGGGGCUCGGUGAAAUAGACUUGUCUGUGAAGAUGCGGACUACCUGCACCAGGACAGAAAGACCCUAUGAAGCUUUACUGUAACCUGAAAUUGAAAUUGGACUUUACUUGCGCAGUAUAGGUGGGAGGCGUUGAGAAUAUUCUUGCGGGAUUAUUGGAGCCAUCAGUGAGAUACCACUCUUGUAAUGUUAGAUUUCUAACUUUGUAUCAUUAUCUGGUCAAAGAACAGUUUCAGGCGGGCAGUUUGACUGGGGCGGUCGCCUCCUAAACGGUAACGGAGGCGCACAAAGGUUUCCUCUGAACGGGUAGAAAUCGUAUCUAGAGUGUAAAGGCAUAAGGAAGCUUGACUGUGAGACCUACAAGUCGAGCAGGGACGAAAGUCGGUCUUAGUGAUCUGACGGUGCUGAGUGGAAAGGCCGUCACUCAACGGAUAAAAGUUACUCUAGGAUAACAGGCUGAUCUCCCCCAAGAGUUCACAUCGACGGGGAGGUUUGGCACCUCGAUGUCGGCUCAUCGCAUCCUGGGGCGGUAGUACGUCCCAAGGGUUGGGCUGUUCGCCCAUGAAAGCGGUACGCGAGCUGGGUUCAGAACGUCGUGAGACAGUUCGGUCCAUAUCCGGUGUAGGCGUUAGAAUAUUGAGAGGAGCCUUCUUUAGUACGAGAGGACCGAGAAGGACAUACCUCUGGUGUACCAGUUAUCGUGCCAACGGUAAACGCUGGGUAGCUAUGUGUGGAGUGGAUAACCGCUGAAAGCAUCUAAGUGGGAAGCCCACCUCAAGAUAAGUAUUCUCA
rnacentral:rRNA from 1 species